CGACCUCGUCACCUUCUUCCGGCCAUAUCUCCUCCAUCCGGCGACGGAUUUUGACGUGUAAGGUGUCGUUGGAAAGCUCUCUUCAUUCUCUUGAUUUCUGGGUUCGUUUGGUAGCCUAAUAUGAACUGUGGAAGGUGCAGCAAUGAGAAGAAGAGGACGGUCACUGUAGCCGAACGGAGGUUUCAUCGAUUUCCGGCGAUUCCGGCCACCUCCGGUCCCCAUUUCGCCAUCGAAGGUUCGG
rnacentral:lncRNA from 1 species